rnacentral:rRNA from 1 species
UACGUAGGGGGCGAGCGUUGUCCGGAAUUACUGGGCGUAAAGAGCACGUAGGCGGCUGUAAAAGUCAGAUGUGAAAAACCUGGGCUCAACCGAGGGUGUGCAUCUGAAACUAUAUAGCUUGAGUCAAGGAGAGGAGAGCGGAAUUCCUGGUGUAGCGGUGAAAUGCGUAGAGAUCAGGAAGAAUACCAGUGGCGAAAGCGGCUCUCUGGACUUGAACUGACGCUGAGGUGCGAAAGCGUGGGGAGCAAACAGG